GUCAUGAUGAAGACAUGGAAGAUGUCAUUGGGUCCAUGGGCGGUGGUGUUGAUGAGGAGGAUUGAAGACCUUGGUUUGGGUAGUAUUAGAUUUUUUAUUGUUAGUUUUUAUUAUUAUUAUUGUUUUUGUGUUUUUAAUUAUGGUUGUACUUUAGGAAGCAUCACAUGUUGGUGUUUCCCGUUUUUUUUUUGUACUUUUGGUGGCUCUCGUUUCACCGUGAACUUUUGUUUUGUUAAUUGCAUAUAUCUUUAUU
rnacentral:lncRNA from 1 species